UACGGAGGGUGCAAGCGUUAUCCGGAUUCACUGGGGUUAAAGGGUGCGUAGGUGGGUCUGUAAGUCAGUGGUGAAAUCUCCGUGCUUAACAUGGAAACUGCCAUUGAUACUAUAGGUCUUGAAUUUUCUGGAGGUCAGCGGAAUAUGUCAUGUAGCGGUGAAAUGCUUAGAUAUGACAUAGAACACCAAUUGCGAAGGCAGCUGGCUACAGGGAUAUUGACACUGAGGCACGAAAGCGUGGGGAUCAAACAGG
rnacentral:rRNA from 1 species